rnacentral:tRNA from 1 species
UCCCCCGUGGUGUAAUGGGCAACACUGUCGGUUUUGGUCCGACCAUUAGAGGUUCGAGUCCUCUCGGGGGAGCAA